AGUGAACGCUGGCGGUAGGCCUAACACAUGCAAGUCGAACGGCAGCACAGUAAUAGCUUGCUCUUACGGGUGGCGAGUGGCGGACGGGUGAGGAAUACAUCGGAAUCUACUUUUUCGUGGGGGAUAACGUAGGGAAACUUACGCUAAUACCGCAUACGACCUACGGGUGAAAUCAUAGGAUCUUCGGACCUUGCGCGAUUGAAUGAGCCGAUGUCGGAUUAGCUAGUUGGCGGGGUAAAGGCCCACCAAGGCGACGAUCCGUAGCUGGUCUGAGAGGAUGAUCAGCCACACUGGAACUGAGACACGGUGCAGACUCCUAAGGGAGGCAGCAGUGGGGAAUAUUGGACAAGGAGCGGAAGCCUGAUCCAGCCAUACCGCGUGGGUGAAGAAGGCCUUCGGGUUGUAAAGCCCUUUUGUUGGGAAAGAAAAGCAGCAGGUUAAUACCCCGCUGUUCUGACGGUACCCAAAGAAUAAGCACCGGCUAACUUCGUG
rnacentral:rRNA from 1 species